GGCUUAGGUGCCUGGCAAAUUAUGAAGCCCUUAGAUUUUCAAAUCCCAUUUUGGGUUUGGGGGAAACAUUGGUGUCAAGAAUGAAAGAACGGAGUGUCAACAAUAGUGGGAAGUACAUUUCUGUGCAUCUCCGCUUUGAGGAGGAUAUGGUGGCUUUCUCUUGUUGCAUUUAUGAUGGUGGUGAAGAAGAAAAAAGGGACAUGGAUGCUGCAAGAGAGAGGGGAUGGAAGGGAAAAUUUACAAAACCUGGUCGUGUGAUUCGUCCUGGAGCUAUCAGAAUUAAUGGAAAGUGUCCCUUGACUCCUUUAGAGGUUGGUUUGAUGUUAAGAGGCAUGGGAUUUGACAAGUUUACAUCCAUCUAUUUAGCAUCUGGAAAAAUAUACGACUCUGAGCGACAUAUGAAACCACUAUUAGAAAUGUUUCCUCUUUUACAAACUAAAGAAAUGCUGGCAUCACCAGAAGAAUUAGGCCCAUUUCAGAAUUACUCUUCCAG
rnacentral:misc_RNA from 1 species